rnacentral:tRNA from 1 species
GGUUUUAUAUUCAAUUAUGAUCUUAAAUUGCAAAUUUAAGGGUGAAGUUAUUAUUCUAAAACCU